AAGAGCACUAGGCCCGAAAGGGAGCAGUGAUCCUGCGGCUCGUGGGGGUUGCAAUGUGGAGGCAGGGGCG
rnacentral:SRP_RNA from 1 species